UUUAUUUGUAUGCCAUUGUCAUGUCUUAGCUUCCCAAGGGAAGAAAUCUUCUCUUCUGCCCUGGCUGGUGUGGCUCAGUGGAUUGAGUGCCGACCUGUGAACCAAAGGGCCACCAGUUCAAUUCCUAGUCAGGGCACAUGCCUGGGUUCCGGGCCAGGUCCCCAGCAGGGGGGCGCGUGAAAGGCAACCACACACUGAUGUUUCUCUUCCUCCUUUCCCCUCUCUAAAAAUAAAUAAAAUCUUAAAAAAAAACCAACUUCCCUUCCUUGCUAACCUCCCACAAGUCCCAGCAGAGGGCACUAUACACAAGAGGGCUGCCUCUGUGGGUGCCACUGGCUCACUAUAGAUAUCCUCCACAGCAACUGAGUUAUUUUAGCUUUGCCUGCAUUCUCUAUACCCAGGCCACAUCAGCUUAAGAUAAAUGCCACUGGACAAUAACGGUGACUUCAUCUCUGACACCCUGCAUAGCAGAUAGCUGAGAGGCUUGUCAGCACAACCAUCAUUCAAGGAAGAUGGAGGGGUGGAAGAACCCUCAAUCCACAAUUUGGAAUACAGAUUUUAGAAAACACCUAGCAAAAAUACCAGCAGGAAUAGCUAUCUGAAGCACUGAAGAAUUGGUCUGCCCUGGCUGCCUAGUAAAGGAGUAAAAAAGAAGGAAUGGCAAGUUUUAAACUGAAGAAAGAGAUAGCCACAAACAUAUCUUGGCACCCCAGGAUUCCUAAGACUACAGCUUAAAACUUUGGACCAGGGAAGCCAGGAAUAAUGGAAAAAUCACACAGAAGUCUAGAUACUAACUCAAGCUCUUCCAUAAACUAGCUUUGCCACCUUAUAAGUAACUUAUUUCUAUACAUCAACUUUCUUACUUGUAUUAAUAUGAAAUUGCACUAGUGGAAAGAUCCCACACUUGGCUUUCCUGAUUUCAUUCCCCAGCUUCGCCCACCUGGCACACAUAAACUAGGCUCAGCACGCUCAAGGAGAGGCCAUGCGAUUGGUCUAGGAUAUACAGGGUGGGACAAAAGUAGGUUUUCAGUUGUGAGGAUGCAAAACACAGAGGUUAUUCCCAUAUUAUUGUUUAUUGUAUGAUUUCCCAUAUGAACUGCUAUAACCCUACUUCUGACCCACCCUGUAUAAAUAUUCUAGCUUUAAUACUUGAGUUUUUACCUUUUGAAGUAUAUAAACUUUUUCAUAAUUUUUUUCCAGGUAGACAAUAAUCCCCACAAGGGUAGGGAAUGCCUUUCCUGAUAUAUCUUCGUUCCACCUGGCUCACUUGGCGUCUAGCACGCUGUUCAGAAAGGCUGAUGCUGGAGAGGCAUCAUAGUCCCCUGGCUAAAUCUGAAGAGAUGGUAGGAUUGCAGAGGUGGUCCAGACAUCACAAGGCAAGAAGUUACUCUGCCUCCUGCUGGCCAUAAGCAGAAGGGCCUGAGCUCCUUUUGGCUUAUUACUAGAGGUCUCAUAUCUCCUUCACAGAUGGAACUUGUGAAGGAAUGCAAGAUUGAAAGGGAAAGGAAGAAUGGGCUUCCUUUUUUUUAAUUAGCCCGGACUAAGUUUUAGGUGUCAAUAAAUCAUUUAGAUC